rfam:Blautia sp. YL58, complete genome.
AAGAGCCGUAUGAAAGGAGACUUUCACGUACGGUUCCGGGAGAAGUUUGAGGUGAAAGUCCUCUUACUUACUCGAC